rnacentral:rRNA from 1 species
AUUGAACGCUGGCGGCAGGCCUAACACAUGCAAGUCGAACGGUAACAGGAAACAGCUUGCUGUUUCGCUGACGAGUGGCGGACGGGUGAGUAAUGUCUGGGAAACUGCCCGAUGGAGGGGGAUAACUACUGGAAACGGUAGCUAAUACCGCAUAACGUCGCAAGACCAAAGAGGGGGACCUUCGGGCCUCUUGCCAUCGGAUGUGCCCAGAUGGGAUUAGCUAGUAGGUGGGGUAACGGCUCACCUAGGCGACGAUCCCUAGCUGGUCUGAGAGGAUGACCAGCCACACUGGAACUGAGACACGGUCCAGACUCCUACGGGAGGCAGCAGUGGGGAAUAUUGCACAAUGGGCGCAAGCCUGAUGCAGCCAUGCCGCGUGUAUGAAGAAGGCCUUCGGGUUGUAAAGUACUUUCAGCGGGGAGGAAGGGAGUAAAGUUAAUACCUUUGCUCAUUGACGUUACCCGCAGAAGAAGCACCGGCUAACUCCGUGCCAGCAGCCGCGGUAAUACGGAGGGUGCAAGCGUUAAUCGGAAUUACUGGGCGUAAAGCGCACGCAGGCGGUUUGUUAAGUCAGAUGUGAAAUCCCCGGGGCUCAACCUGGGAACUGCAUCUGAUACUGGCAAGCUUGAGUCUCGUAGAGGGGGGUAGAAUUCCAGGUGUACCGGUGAAAUGCGUAGAGAUCUGGGAGGAAUACCAGUGGGAAGGCCGGCCCUGGGACAAGACUGACUCUCAGGGGCGAAACAUGG